UGGGGAAUAUUGCACAAUGGGCGAAAGCCUGAUGCAGCGACGCCGCGUGAGGGACGACGGCCUUCGGGUUGUAAACCUCUUUCAGUAGGGAACAAGGCAUCAUUUUUGUGGUGUUGAGGGUACUUGCAGAAGAAGCACCGGCUAACUACGUGCCAGCAGCCGCGGUAAUACGUAGGGUGCAAGCGUUAUCCGGAAUUAUUGGGCGUAAAGAGCUCGUAGGCGGUUUGUCGCGUCUGUCGUGAAAGUCCGGGGCUCAACUCCGGAUCUGCGGUGGGUACGGGCAGACUAGAGUGAUGUAGGGGAGACUGGAAUUCCUGGUGUAGCGGUGGAAUGCGCAGAUAUCAGGAGGAACACCGAUGGCGAAGGCAGGUCUCUGGGCAUUAACUGACGCUGAGGAGCGAAAGCAUGGGGAGCGAACAGGAUUAGAUACCCUGGUA
rnacentral:rRNA from 1 species